GGUGAACCCAUAAAGCUCAGUGCUAACGCAGCUAGCUGCUAAGAAGCUAACGAUACACGGGCAGCCUCGGAUCAUGUGAUCUUGUCAGACAGAAACAACCAACGAGCGCUGAGGCCACAGUGAGGAACUCUGUCUGCCAGCCCUGGUCUCUGCUUUGCCUCUGCUCCCAUACUGGGUAAGCAUUGUUAUCCAGCAGCACCCUGAGAGUUCCCACAUUAUGGCCCAUCAGACGGUAGUCAAAGGAAAUUCAUCCACCCGUCUCUGCUCAGUCUCGCCAACAUAGACCUCUCCAUCAUAGUCAAAAGGCUGCUCACGGAUCUUAGGAGGCGGCGUUGCGACUGGUUCAGGGAUAACAUUUUUGAUGUCCUCGUACUCCAGUGUACCUCUCACUUGGGAGUCUGUGAUGGCUGCAGGCAGAAAGAGAAAUCCGAUUAGACAUGUGGAACCUCAAUCAUGACUGGGAAGGACAGUUUUUUACCAGAAUUCAGAUGUGUUUGUCGUCAUGUAUUUUGCAGCUGCUGUUCUUGUCCUACUCCAUGCAGAUGAAGCAUGACAGCAACGUUUAUUGCACAUAACUUUAAUUAGUGUUUAAAUUGCACAAGCAUUUUAUCACACAAGUUCUGUAUAUAAAGGGUCAUGCUGAGGAUGCCAGGUCUCAUAUCAAGCUGUGUGCGUGGUGGACGUACAACGUUUCCAGCCAUGUGCAAGGCAGAGAGUUUGGAGAGGUGUUCUUAAAAGUAGGAGGCAAGAGGAGAGAAUGAAUGGGGAUGCAGGGCAGGGCGUGAACAGCGGAUGCAGAGUCUUGGAUUUCACAAAAUCUCACCAUUGAGGAAAUCAUCUGCACUGCCUUUGUCUCCAUCCCACGACCUCUGAUAAAAUGGCUUGACUACAAAAAAUAAAGGCAUUUUUCAUUUA